ACUCAAAUGAAUAGACGGGGGCCCGCACAAGCGGUGGAGCAUGUGGUUCAAUUCGACGCAACGCGAAGAACCUUACCCAGGCUCGAACGGCAUUGGACAUCCGGCGAAAGCCGGCUCCCGCAAGGGCCGAUGUCGAGGUGCUGCAUGGCUGUCGUCAGCUCGUGUCGUGAGAUGUUGGGUUAAGUCCCGCAACGAGCGCAACCCUUGUCCGCUGUUGCCAUCAGGUUAAGCUGGGCACUCUGCGGAGACUGCCGGUGAUAAACCGGAGGAAGGUGGGGAUGACGUCAAGUCAGCAUGGCCUUUAUGUCUGGGGCUACACACGUGCUACAAUGGCAGGUACAAACCGUCGCGAUGCCGCGAGGUGGAGCUAAUCGGAGAAAACCUGUCUCAGUUCGGAUUGUAGGCUGCAACUCGCCUGCAUGAAGUUGGAAUCGCUAGUAAUCGCGGAUCAGCACGCCGCGGUGAAUACGUUCCCGGGCCUUGCACACACCGCCCGU
rnacentral:rRNA from 1 species